GGUAGUUGGCGGGGCAACGGCCCACCAAGCCCACGAUAUCUAGGGGUUCUGAGAGGAAGGUCCCCCACAUUGGUACUGAGACACGGACCAAACUCCUACGGGAGGCAGCAGUGAGGAAUAUUGGUCAAUGGACGAGAGUCUGAACCAGCCAAGUCGCGUGAAGGAAGACGGAUCUAUGGUUUGUAAACUUCUUUAGUGCGGGAACAAAGCGGCGUCGAGACGCCUGAUGAGUGUACCGCAAGAAUAAGCAUCGGCUAACUCCGUGCCAGCAGCCGCGGUAAUACGGAGGAUGCGAGCGUUAUCCGGAUUUAUUGGGUUUAAAGGGAGCGCAGGCUGCGAGGCAAGUCAGCGGUCAAAUGUCGGGGCUCAACCCCGGCCUGCCGUUGAAACUGUCCUGCUAGAGUUCGAGUGAGGUAUGCGGAAUGCGUUGUGUAGCGGUGAAAUGCAUAGAUAUGACGCA
rnacentral:rRNA from 1 species